rnacentral:rRNA from 1 species
UACGUAGGGGGCUAGCGUUGUCCGGAAUUAUUGGGCGUAAAGAGCUCGUAGGCGGUCUGUCGCGUCGGUCGUGAAAACUUGGGGCUUAACCCUGAGCUUGCGGUCGAUACGGGCAUGACUGGAGUUCGGUAGGGGAGACUGGAAUUCCUGGUGUAGCGGUGAAAUGCGCAGAUAUCAGGAGGAACACCGGUGGCGAAGGCGGGUCUCUGGGCCGAUACUGACGCUGAGGAGCGAAAGCGUGGGGAGCGAACAGG